UAUGUAAAAUAAGUUUAUAGAAAUUGGAUAGAAUAUAUUUGUUAUUGAUGUGAAAUUGGUUGUGGGAGUUUUGAUUAUGGAACCAUAAAGGGUUUAGAUGAUAUAAGGAUGGAAUAUUGUAUGGAGGUUAUGUGUUUAUAUGUUUGGAUUUCAUGAAACUAGGAUUUUUAAAGCUUGCAUACCAUGUGUUUGUAUAAAUGCCAUAAAG
rnacentral:lncRNA from 1 species